rnacentral:rRNA from 1 species
CCUACGGGUGGCUGCAGUCGAGAAUCAUUCACAAUGGGGGAAACCCUGAUGGUGCGACGCCGCGUGGGGGAAUGAAGGUCUUCGGAUUGUAAACCCCUGUCAUGUGGGAGCAAAUUAAAAAGAUAGUACCACAAGAGGAAGAGACGGCUAACUCUGUGCCAGCAGCCGCGGUAAUACAGAGGUCUCAAGCGUUGUUCGGAAUCACUGGGCGUAAGGCGUGCGUAGGCUGUUUCGUAAGUCGUGUGUGAAAGGCGCGGGCUCAACCCGCGGACGGCACAUGAUACUGCGAGACUAGAGUAAUGGAGGGGGAACCGGAAUUCUCGGUGUAGCAGUGAAAUGCGUAGAUAUCAAGAGGAACACUCGUGGCGAAGGCGGGUUCCUGGACAUUAACUGACGCUGAGGCACGAAGGCCAGGGGAGCGAAAGGGAUUAGAUACCCCAGUAGUC